rnacentral:rRNA from 1 species
AGAGUUUGAUCCUGGCUCAGAGUGAACGCUGGCGGCAGGCCUAAUACAUGCAAGUCGAACGGCAGCACAGCAGAGCUUGCUCCGUGGGUGGCGAGUGGCGGACGGGUGAGGAAUACAUGGGAAUCUGCCCAGUCGUGGGGGAUAACGUAGGGAAACUUACGCUAAUACCGCAUGCGCCCUUCGGGGGAAAGCCGGGGACCUUCGGGCCUGGCGCGAUUGGAUGAGCCCAUGUCGGAUUAGCUAGUUGGCGGGGUAAUGGCCCACCAAGGCGACGAUCCGUAGCUGGUCUGAGAGGAUGAUCAGCCACACUGGAACUGAGACACGGUCCAGACUCCUACGGGAGGCAGCAGUAGGGAAUAUUGGACAAUGGGCGCAAGCCUGAUCCAGCCAUGCCGCGUGAGUGAAGAAGGCCCUCGGGUUGUAAAGCUCUUUUGUCCGGAAAGAAAAGCGCCGGGUUAAUACCCUAGUGUCCUGACGGUACCGGAAGAAUAAGCACCGGCUAACUUCGUG